rnacentral:tRNA from 1 species
GUGGGUAUAGCUCAGUGGAAGAGCACAUGCUUAGCACUAGUGAGGUCCUGGGUUCAAUCCCCAGUACCUCCC